CUGCUGCCUCCCGUAGGAGUUUGGGCCGUGUCUCAGUCCCAAUGUGGCCGUUCACCCUCUCAGGCCGGCUACUGAUCGUUGCCUCGGUAGGCCAUUACCCCACCAACUAGCUAAUCAGACGCGGAACCAUCGUAUACCACCAGAGUUUUUCACACCGCUUCAUGCGAAGCUGUGCGCUUAUGCGGUAUUAGCACCUAUUUCUAAGUGUUAUCCCCCAGUAUACGGCAGGUUUUCCACGCGUUACUCACCCGUCCGCCA
rnacentral:rRNA from 1 species